rnacentral:rRNA from 1 species
UGCCUACGGGACGCAGCAGUGAGGAAUAUUGGUCAAUGAGCGCAAGCCUGAACCAGCCAAGUCGCGUGAGGGAUGACGGUCCUAUGGAUUGUAAACCUCUUUUGUCGGGGAGCAAGGCCCGCCACGUGUGGCGGGAAGGAGAGUACCCGAAGAAAGAGCAUCGGCUAACUCCGUGCCAGCAGCCGCGGUAAUACGGAGGAUGCGAGCGUUAUCCGGAUUUAUUGGGUUUAAAGGGUGCGCAGGCGGAAUGUCAAGUCAGCGGUAAAAUUUCGGGGCUCAACCCCGUCGUGCCGUUGAAACUGGCG